CCCCAGCCCCCUCAGCCACUAUUUUUAUUUGCUAAUACUUUGAGCCUGUGUUGGAAUAAUGCUAUCAGGCCCUUCUUCCCAGCUUAUAAACGGCUACCGUUUUUCUGCAACGCUUCAUCAUCCAGCAACACCGCCUACUUUCCUUAAAGCCUGGGCCAAAAAUAAGUCCCUGAACCCUGAACCUAACCAAGGUCCUUCGCUUCUUCGACCUGCCCGGAGCAUGGCUCAACCAGCUAGAGUCAGAUUUAAGGGCCCAGGCUGGCUCUAGAGUUCUUCCCUAGGGGGAGCAGCUAGUCUCCAAGGAAGAGGAACGGUAACCCUGGCAAAGCUCUUUCAAGAUUAUCUGGGUAGCCUCUAAGGAACUAACCAAUAAGAACCUCUGCAGCCCUUAGAUUACCUUAAAAAACAAAACAAAACAAAAAAACACAAUGUAAACAGCAGGUACAUAGACGUCCUAAUGGUAAACGAGACUGGAACAAGAAUGGAAAGUCCCUGCAUCGGACUCGUUUAUUCUUUCAUCGGCCCAGGAGGUAUUUAAUUUGUGCUGCUAUGUGCCAGGCACUGUGCUGGGGACCGGAGAAACAAAGAUAAGCAGUGUGUGGCCCUCUCGGCGUCUGCAGGGCCACCUUGGCGAGCCACAGCUAGUCUAUGACAAUUGGAUCACCUUGUCCUUCACGGCAGGUGUGUGCACUAACGGGGCAGCAGCGAAGCAAAGGGAUCCAGUGCCUUCUGCCUCCAUGGGUAUCACGCAUGCACGUGGUGUACAGACAUCCAGAAUCUAGACCAGCACCCAAAUCAUGGAGCUCAGUAACUAUUUACUGGAUAUGAGAAUGUACAUGAUGGAAUAGAGAGUGAAAUUUCUGGAAGGCCCUGGAACCCUCUGUGUACAAUGGUGCUUUGAGACCUACGGAGCUAAGAGAGCAGCUCAAAUGGAGCACAUUUAGAGAUCUAACUAGCAAACUCGAAGAGUGCGUCUGUUUAACGAGAGCCUUUACAGAAUGGAAUUUGUGGAAUGAGGGGUAACAGGUAACCAUUUAAGGCUAAAGAUUAUGUUAUAUGCUUAUAAUUCCAGGCCUUGAGAAACGGAGGCAGGAGAAUCACAGGUUCCAGGCAAGCCUGGCCUAUGCUGGUAGAUUCCAUCUCAAAAAAAUUUAAAAGCUACUUGCCUCUGACUGUCUCUUUGGGUCUGAAUUCCACAAAAUUCCUGGUUAUUUUCAGGUAGCCCCUGAUGCCUGUCCCUUCAGCCUCCAUUUAGUGAUUAAGAUGGCUUAAAUGAAACCGGGGUCUUCUGUAUGGUUCUUUGAGUCAGGGUCUCACUUACCUCUGGUUGGUCUUGAACUCAUUAUCUAGCUAAGAAUGGCCUUUCUGAUUUUCUUGCCUUUGCCUCGCAAGGAGUGAUAUUAUGGGCGUACAACAGCCAGGAUUAAUUUUUAUAUUUAUUUCUGUUAUCGUUUUCUAUGCUUAAAUGUUUUGUCUGUCUGUAUGUCUGUGCACUAUGUGGGUGCUGGGAAUCGAACCCAGGUCUUUUGCAAGAACAGCAAGUGCUUUGACUAAUGAGCCAGCUCCUUGAAUUAAUUUUUAAAAAUGAAAACUUUACAGUGCUUGCUUUUGCUUGUCUCUUAGCUUUACUGGAUUGCAGGUGGCCAUGUUCCCUGGGAAACACAGUAGAGCUCCGGAGAUGCUUGUGUUGACCUACUCAUCUCUCCUCCGAAUUUUCUAGCCCUCAUCUCUCCAGAGUUUGCGUAGGACGGUAGAGAGAAAAGGGGCCACACCUGCAUCGUCAUCACCCAGAUCAAGGUGGUCUGCACUAUCAAGGAGAAGGACUGGAAGUCAGAGAUGUCCUUUCCAUCACUGCGUUCUGAGUUGAAGAUGGUCCCCAUGGGGACAAAGAAGAGCACGAAGGAACUGUAGAUGCCAUGUAUCAAACACUUAAUAAAUUCCUUCUUGUUGAAA